UAAUCUCACUCCAUCAGCUUUUGUUGAGGGAGGUGGACCUGGACUCUGUUGUGUCAUUACAACUGGUCUGAAAUGCAUGAGUGCACCCUGCUGUUGCAGCGUCUUCAGUGUGAUAAGCAUCUUCACUGGAUCAAGUUCCUUUGGGACACGCAAGCAUUGUGGGCUCUGUGCUGACAAACUGUCUUUGGACAACCUUGACA
rnacentral:misc_RNA from 1 species